AAAAGAUUGUGCUAAAAUUUAAUAAUACUUUAUCUAUCAAUGGAGUAUCCUUUUGGCCACCACGGUCACCACCACCACCACCACCGUCGCGACGACGACGACGACCGUCGAGAAGAAUUUCCACCUCCCGGCCACCGACCACCCUACGAUGAACCACCUCCUCCUCAAGUUGGCCAGGUCUUUCAUACUUCUCAUGUAGGUGGACCACCACCAAUGGAACCUAAUUAUGACCGGCCUCACUAUCCUCCGCCGCCGAUGGAUGAUAAUUAUGGUCGGACUGAGUAUACGCCACCGAUGGAUGAUAUUUAUGGUCGGACUAACUAUCCGCCACCGCCAAUGGAGGAGAACUAUGGUGGAUCUUACAAUCGUCCACCGCCGAGAUCCGAUUACUAUGACGCCCCACCACCACCACCUACUUCCGGGUAUCCCUCCGUUGAACACGUGUCUCAUGAGAGUGAGAGUGGUGAUCGGCAUCAUGAUCGUCAUCGUUUUCAACCUCAUGUGCCUACAGCCUUCCAUCAUCAAACUUCAGAUCCAGAGCUUAUGGAUAAACCUUCUUUUAGGGUUUAUACUAAGGCUGAUACUAAUUACUCUCUCACCAUCCGUGACGGAAAAGUUGUUCUUGCUUCUAAUGAUCCAUCAGAUCCAUUUCAACACUGGUAUAAAGAUGAGAAGUUCAGUACUAAAGUGAAGGAUGAAGAGGGAUUUCCAAGCUUUGCUUUGGUUAAUAAAGCUUCAGGACUGGCAGUGAAGCACUCUAUUGGCGCCUCUCACCCUGUGCAGCUCACCCCAUACAAUCCCGACGUUCUUGAUGCAUCAAUCUUAUGGACAGAGAGCAGGGAUGUGGGUGAUGGUUAUCGAGCAGUUAGGAUGGUCAAUAACAUUAACCUCAAUCUAGAUGCAUGGAAUGCUGAUAAAGAGCAUGGAGGUGUCCGCGAUGGGACCACUGUUUGUCUUUGGGAAUGGUGGAAAGGAGACAACAGGAACCAACACUGGAAGAUCGUUCGCUUCUGAUAUGUUGGCUUGUGAAUCAUGGCUGGAAUUGGGUUGAUGCGUGGUAUUUUUCUUUCAUCAUGUGGCUUGUUACCUAUGUUGUACUGUAUUGUAUGUCCCUCCAAAACAGUAAGAAGUAACAUUAAAAUAAGAGGGGAAAUGCUAUGUAUAUUGUGGAGAUGUUGGCUACAGCAUGUCUGUUCAACUUAUAUUUAUAAAAGCUUG
rnacentral:misc_RNA from 1 species